GCUCAAGUUCGUGGCAGCACCGCCAGCCACAGCAGAGGAGGAGGAGGCCUCUCACAGGGCACUGGGGGCCACUGCUGCUGCUGCUGUCACACCACGAGCCGCGCAGCAACAUUGGAGCGACGCGUACUCCAGGCCGCGAGAGCUCACACCAUCUGGUAAAGAAGAGCCGACCUCGCGAGUUGCCUAACGGUGGUGCUGCUUGCAAUGGAUGCCUCUCCCCAUCAACCCACGAGUGUGCUGGCCCUGGCGGGGGGAAAUGCUGGACAGCUGCCAGACACUGCAAAAGCAACAGCUGGAGAAGCAUCAAUCGCAAACAAACACAAGACCCAUAUCAAAGCCGAUCAUCGUUCAUAUUUUGGGAUUUUUUAUGAAAUGAUGCUUUAUAUCUUCUACAAAGAAAAUCCGGCUGGGGAUAUUGAGUCCAGACCCAUUACACAGGAUGCAAGAUAUGCCGCAAGGUGCCAAUGCAUUGUGACUGUGCUCAAACAGGACGUCGCCCUUCACAGUGUGACAGAAUACAAGUGCAAGACUGUCCUGCAGAAGAUGAAGGAUUACUUUUUCAUGCCAUCUAUGUUUCGGAUUGUGUUGGUGGAACCAAGACGAUGGCUCAGAGUCGUGCUGCUCAUCUUCCUGGCCGUGUGCCUGCUACAGCUUUGGCCAGUGCUGCUUCUCUUCAGCCCACUCGCGAUAUGCGUAUUUAUGUUGCAGGCGUACUGCGGCAUCUGUGCAUGGGACAAGGUUGAUGGAGAGAGACACGAUGCGAUGCAUUCCCACAUGCGUCCUGCAAAUGUACUCCCUGCUUGACUGAGCGUCCCUUUAAGUGUGCAUUUAGGAAAGGGCCACGGUUUGACACACUGUGCCUACAUGUCGCCUUAGCCAUAACACUGCAACAUGUGUUCAAAUUUACCAGUGCAUGCUUCUGCCUUUACAUGCCAAAUAGAAAACACGUGUAUUCAUUUGAAAGACUUAUUAACACAAAACUCCUGUAUAAUAAUUGAGGUGAUUUAGAGUAUCGUACUAACAUUUUUUUAAAUCAAUGUUGGAAGUGAAUGUAACAAAUAUGCAAAAAAACAAAUGUCUUUAAUGAGCAAAUAAUGUAGAUUUUAUAUUGCAGUCUUGUUUUAUGUUGACAAAAGCCUACUGUGAAUAACGCAAACAUCUUAUGGUAAGUGCACUAAAUAAACCUAGACAACAUAUGGCACACUCAAUGGACAGAAUCCCCAAACACAAUAUUAUCUCAUAGGUAGCACCUGAACUUAAUAUUUAAAAUCACCUGGUCACUAUAUUUGAGGCUAAUUUCUAUUGUUUUCACACUACAUUAAGUGCAACCUUUUUACUACAAACCAUGAAAAUCAUGAAACCACUUUUAAUAAUGAAUAACUUCCUGUAAUAAUCUCGAAAUACUAUCAUGAGUCAUGUCAUGUCUUUUAGAAUCACUUUUUUAAAAUAUAUAAUUGUUGAAGAAUGAAAUGAUUGAAUUUCUGCCCUUUGUCAAUCUACUGCUAAAUGAAGGCUUCACACUGUUUCAAUCUUGGGGUUGUUUGACCUUACUUCACUGUGCUGGUCGGUGUCAGUUUGUGAAGUGGGGGGAACAAGACAGGUUCAGCUUUGAACCUAUGAAUAACCUACGCUAAAUAAUCUAGCAGAGCAGACCAAACCUAUUUGUGUCAUACCACGCUGAGCAUUGAACUUUACUAAAUGGUGUAUGGGAUCAGUUCAGCAAGUCACUCAGACAGCCAUCAUAUCUACAUUUCACUGUAUAAUUAGUCAAUCAAAUUCAAUUACGUUCCAUGCAUUUAACCUCAUUUUAACCAAGCUGUUGGAAUGAAACUUUUAAACCAAUCUUCCUCUGAAGGGUAGUAGAUUUUACUGAAACCAUGGAUUAAAGCAUCUCAUUGUACAUAAAGGGAUAACACAUUGCUGGGUUAUAUAUUUAACUUCAUAUAAUGUCAUUAAUGGGUUUCAAUCCUGCGCUAAUGACAAGUACAUCACACUCUGUACUAUUGUUGGUCAUUAAGACUUGUAGCAAAACUCAACCAUAUGUAGUAUACAACAUAUGUUAUCGAAAACACAUGUUUACAUACGAACACGUAUCAAUGGAAAGAUGCAUCGUGGCACCUUCCAUAAAAAAUAAACCUCUCUUUAAUAAAAUUAUAUAUUCCAGUUAUUUUACAACACGUACAAUUCUGUAAAGGGUUGCUAUUGUAUGCGUAUCUUAUAUCAAUUGCAGACACUGUGUUUGCUUCUAUUGCCUUCAUGUCAGUCGCUAAUACUCAACACACAUUGAAUAUUGUGAUUAAAGAGUGUGAAGUUAC